AACGAACGCUGGCGGCAUGCCUAAUACAUGCAAGUCGAACGAUCCCUUCGGGGAUAGUGGCGCACGGGUGCGUAACGCGUGGGAAUCUGCCCUUGGGUUCGGAAUAACAGUUGGAAACGACUGCUAAUACCGGAUGAUGACGAAAGUCCAAAGAUUUAUCGCCCAGGGAUGAGCCCGCGUCGGAUUAGCUAGUUGGUGAGGUAAAGGCUCACCAAGGCGACGAUCCGUAGCUGGUCUGAGAGGAUGAUCAGCCACACUGGGACUGAGACACGGCCCAGACUCCUACGGGAGGCAGCAGUGGGGAAUAUUGGACAAUGGGCGAAAGCCUGAUCCAGCAAUGCCGCGUGAGUGAUGAAGGCCUUAGGGUUGUAAAGCUCUUUUACCCGGGAUGAUAAUGACAGUACCGGGAGAAUAAGCCCCGGCUAACUCCGUGCCAGCCGCCGCAGUAAAAC
rnacentral:rRNA from 1 species